CAAAAUUGUGCGCUGCAUACCUGGAAUACGAAGGCACGAUGCUUCACUCAUCAGUUUUUUUGCUGUCGACAAUUCUAGGAUUUUUCAUCUCUUCGAUCACUCAAACAGCACUGUUUUACCGGCAACUCGUCCUCAUUGCAUUGGCAUGCGGAUUAUUAUCGACGUGGUUGGUGUUCUGUUUUGUGGGAGAACUUGUUGAAAACAUGAAUGAAGUCAUAGCUACGGAAAUUUACGAAAGCCCUUGGUACCUUUUGCAGCCAAAAGAUCGUCGACUCGUUCACACAUUUUUGACCAUCAUUCAACGACCAAUUUCUAUCUCUGUGUAUGGAUUAUAUCCAGCGAAAUUGUUCUCCUUUCCAGACACGUUGAAUACAAUUUACUCUCAAGUGAAAGUACUUCGCACUCUUCAGUUCAACAAGCAGAAAUAAUUGUAACAGAUGCACUUAUUCUCAAAAUCGAGAUAUUUUGUUCUGCACUCUGAUUACCUUAUGUGCACAUUUAUUUGCAUUUCGCGAGUUAGUACCUAAACCUAUCAGGUUAGCAAUUAAGCACCCAGCACUAUUUCUCUUAUAAUUAUGUAAUUCACUCAAUUCGAAUCAUUAUUAUUAUUAUUAAUCUAGGUGAAUACCGAAGGAGGUAUUGGUUUUUAGAUAUUUUGGAAGCAAAUCAUCUUCAUUUUAUUACAACUUGAUAUCCCUCGAUUUAUGCACGGGAAUAAACGAUUUCGAGGCACAUUAGAAAGCACGAAAAUUUACUAUAACGGUGUAAAAAAGCAAAAACUGAAAAUUUAAUGAUAAUUUCGACUAUUCGUGUGUUUUUCAAAUGUAUUUCAAAAUAUUUUAAAUUCACGAGAGUGAGGCGAUUUGAAGACAAUUACUGCAUGCGUCCUUUAUGGGAAGG